CCUCUUCAUCACCACACACACUGUGCACUUCUCUUCAGUCCCAGGAACCUUGCCUUUCGGGGCAGGCUGUACUUUGACUGGAAAACUCUUGUGAAUGAAAACAGUUUUGGAUGUUCCAAUUUGAAAAAGUUAAAACAACUAUUAACGGUGGAUCUCUUGGCUCUCGUAUCGAUGAAGAACGCAGCGAAACGCGAAAUGUAAUGUGAAUUGCAGAAUUCAGUGAAUCAUCGAAUCUUUGAACGCAUCUUGCGCUCUCGGGUUAUUCCUGAGAGCAUGCUUGUUGGAGUGUCGCGAAACUCUCAACCCCGCUCAAUCUGUUUGGAUUGGGUUGUUUGGGCUUGGAUCAUGACCUUCGCCGAGUCGUUUACGACUGGGCCGGGUUGAAAUGCAUCAAGCUGAAUCAUAACGUGCGGCUUGACCUGUUGUUGUAAGCAUCCACUUUCAAUGGGAACGCAUGAUUUGAACGAGCUUUUCAAACGGAUGAACUCUGAUUGAAGUCCUUCGGGGCUUUGACCAGUGCAUUCUGACCUCCAAUCAAGUAGGACUACCCGCUGAACUUAAGCAUAUCAAUAA
rnacentral:rRNA from 1 species